GGCAGCAGCUCUAUUUGUUUCAUUCUCAAAUAUGCCAAUAUGUGUCAACAAGGUGAAGGAAAAUAUUUAUGAAAACUAGUUGAUUUGAGCAACAUCUAUGCAUGCUAUUCACAAUUAAAAGGUAGAAUCAUGCUUGUAUGCACUCAAAAACAAAACUUAACCCAUUAAAUUCAAAACCUAGUAGUUAUGGUGAACCAAGACUCAACUCAAAACAAAAUGAGUUGAGAAACUUUAUACCUUUGAAGCACCUCUUUGCUUAGCAAAGGUUAAUCACCCAUGUGAGGGCCUUCUUUCCUUUGUGACCUUGCUCCUUGUCUCCAUGGAAUUGGAUGGAGGAACUUUGCUUCUUGGCUCCAUGUCUUCUUGGAUAUGGAUGGAAGAAUUGGGUUCUCCAAAAGUCCCCAAAGUUGGAGACUUCUAAGUUUCGACACCAAGGAUGGUUAAGGAAGAAGAUGAGUGACCAUGGAAGAAUUAGAUGCUAGUAAAUUCCCACAUGGUGGCUAGCCUCCUAGAGGGAAAAAGGAGAGCUUUUGUUCUCUCCAAUUUUCUUAAGAAAACCCUAAUAAAGAAAAGGCUAUAAAGUCACAUUUAUACCUACCUUCAAUGGAGUGGUAACUUGUAAUAAGUCCAAAACCCACUCCCUCUCUAAGAAUGGCCGGCCUCCCUAUUUUUAGUGGGUUAAUUGCCCAUUUUGUUUUAGUUGUCACACAACUUAAAACUUAUGUGCCUUGUGGACCAAAACCCUUUUGUGUCCUGAAGCCCAAAACUAACUUAAGGCCUAAAACGAACCUUUCGUUCUAGAUUAAUUAACUUUUAAUUAAUCCUUGCCAUAUACAAUUAAACUAUUUAAUUGUCCUUACUCAUCUUCAUUAUAUCCUUCAAUCAUUACCUUACACGGUGUUCUAUCCAUUAGGUUCCUUUUAGCGAGGUAGUGGGCGAUUAGAACUCUUCAAAUCGAUUGUGAAUUAAAACUUACUUUCAAUUCUCCCUUUAGUGAUUAUACACCUUUAGGGCUUCCACAAACCAUGAGUGACACCUAGCAGUAUGUCAUGGCUACCCAAGCUAAUCAGAAGAGGUGGAUAACCUAUUCAGUUUAGGAUUCCAAUGCAAUACGGUAUUUCUCUAAUACAAUACUCUUGACCACAUUGUUUGGUUUGAUAGUUUAUUCAUGUUUACUAUCCAAUGUGAUUCAUUUA
rnacentral:lncRNA from 1 species